rnacentral:tRNA from 1 species
GGCUCGUCGGGCCACGGCGUGAAGCCGUCGGUCAGGACGACGACGAUCUCCGGCGGCUCGGGCCCGCGGCGAGCCC